rnacentral:lncRNA from 1 species
AUAAUAGUUAUGAAAAUUGACUAUAUAUUAUAAAGUAAGUCUUUGUCAAAGAACAAAUAUGAGUAUACCAGUAUUAUAAAGCUUCAAAAUCAUAUAGCCUUAUAUAUUUUAAACAAACAAAAGAACCCAAUUAUAAAUAACUAAUGAAUUAAAGAAAACAUAAUAAAAAUCAGAGUAUACUAUGAAAGUGAUAAAUUAUUAUCUAUUGAAACUGUAGAACGCAGUUGGACUCUUGAAUAGAGGGAAACAUAUAGCUUUAGAUGCUUACAUUACUACAUGCUAAAAUCUAAAUAUUGAAAAACUAAGGGUUUAUCUUGAUAUUUUGAAAAAAUAAAAUUAAAAUGAACCCAAAUCAUUUUGCAGUCUUUUAUGAGAUGGUCAAAUGUGGCUAUAAGAGGAGAAAUAGGAAAGGCUUAAGGAAAAAAACGAUGUUUAUUUUACACAUAGGUCCUCAAGAGGAGCCACUGCACAUGUUGAGCCAUGUGGGAAAGACUCCAGGAUGGUCAGGAUGCAAAAGCAGGAGCCAGAGGAUGGUUUAGGCCACUCCCUUUACUGGAGUUUCCACGGGAAAGCCAGGCAAGGUAGGAUGGACAGUUAAGGAUUAGUUGUUUGAAUAAUUUUGGAAGGCUUUGGCUGUCAAAGUAGUCCUUGGUUGACUGGUACCUGGCCCUAGAAUGAUAAAGGCAGAGGAAUAUUGCCUCUGGGGCAUACAAGCCAGAUGGAGGAGGUCUGGGUCUGGAUUGGUUAGUUUGUUUAUCAAGCACCUGCUCUCUUCUGGGUCCUUUUCUGCCUUUAAGAAUUGGCUGGCCCAUCAUAACAUACAGAAAAGUUAAGAAAUAUUUAAAAUACACCAAAAAAGUAGAAAGAAGGAAAUAUUAAGUAUCAGGCGUUUAUGAAAUAGAUGAAAACAUACAUUAAAAAGGAGGAUGAACAAAGCAAACAUUAGUUUACUGAAAAGACUAGUUACAUAAAUCAACCAGAACUCUAGGAACAUUGAUCAGGGCAAACACAAUUAACAACAUCUGGAAUAAAAAUAGUGGAUAACUAAAUAUACUGGAGAUGUUGCAUAAGAUACAACAAAGGAGUUCCUGGUGUGGCACAGUGGGUUAAGGAUCCAGCAUUGCCGCAGCUGUGGCACAGGUUGCAGCUGCAGCUCGGAUUUGAUCCCUGGACCAGGAACUUCUGUGUGCCAUGAGUGCUGCCAAAAAAGAAAAAAAAAAUGCAACGCAAACUUUAAUAUUUAAGAAUAAACAGAACAUUGGAAUAAACCUAUAAUCAUUUUAAAAGAUGGAAUCAACACUUGAGAAUAUUAUGGGAUAUCCCAUAUGAAAUUUUCUUGGUUGUCUGGGAGUAAAUAUAUUUUUGCAGAGCACUGGGUCCAAAAUGCAGACAGAGCUAUAUGUGGUUUAUUAGUUCAACUUUUGUUGGGGUGAGAGCCAGGAGAGAUUAGUGAGGCUUUAUCUCACACAAGUGGAGAAUAUAGAAUUUGAAUCUAUAUUAAGGGAUUAAAUUUAGCCUGCCCUCUUGAGAGAAGAUUUACCAUGUAUAUAUUUUUUCCAUAAUAGUUGGUUUACAGUGUUCUUUCAGUUUUCUACUGUACAGUAAAGUGACCCAGUCACACAUACAUACAUACAACUAUAAUGGAAAAUAUAAAAAUAAUUAUAAAAAUAGACAAAGGAAUUAUAUUAAACUUAAAACUUCUGUGCAUCAAAAGAUACUAUCAAUGCAUAAUUAUCCCCAAACUCAUGGCAUUGUACAUGUUAAAUAUGCACAACUUUGUCAACCAUAACUCAAUAAAGUGGCUAAAAAAUGUCACAAC